rnacentral:rRNA from 1 species
UCAGGGGGAUAACUCAGGGAAACUUGAGCUAAUACCGCAUAGUGUUAUUGGGUCGCAUGGUCUGAUAAUGAAAGCUGAGGCGGUAACAGAUGGGCAUGCGUAGGAUUAGCUAGUUGGUAGGGUAAUGGCUUACCAAGGCGACGAUCCUUAGGGGUUCUGAGAGGAAGGUCCCCCACACUGGCACUGAGACACGGGCCAGACUCCUACGGGAGGCAGCAGUAGGGAAUAUUGGGCAAUGGUCGGAAGACUGACCCAGCCAUGCCGCGUGCAGGAAGAAGGCGUUAUGCGUUGUAAACUGCUUUUGUCGUGGAAGAAAAGGGUAGUGCGCUACUGAUUGACGGUACACGACGAAUAAGCAUCGGCUAACUCCGUGCCAGCAGCCGCGGUAAUACGGAGGAUGCGAGCGUUGUCCGGAUUUAUUGGGUUUAAAGGGUGCGUAGGCGGUUGUAUAAGUCGGCGGUAAAAUUCGGUAGCUCAACUAUCGGUCUGCCGUCGAUACUGUACGGCUUGAGUGUUUGUGAGGUGGGCGGAAUUGGUAGUGUAGCGGUGAAAUGCAUAGAUAUUACCAGGAACACCGAUUGCGGAGGCAGCUCACUGACAGACGACUGACGCUGAGGCACGAGAGCGUGGGGAGCAAACAGGAUUAGAUACCCUGGUAGUCCACGCUGUAA